rnacentral:rRNA from 1 species
GAUGAACGCUGGCGGCGUGCCUAAUACAUGCAAGUCGAGCGAACGGACGAGAAGCUUGCUUCUCUGAUGUUAGCGGCGGACGGGUGAGUAACACGUGGAUAACCUACCUAUAAGACUGGGAUAACUUCGGGAAACCGGAGCUAAUACCGGAUAAUAUUUUGAACCGCAUGGUUCAAAAGUGAAAGACGGUCUUGCUGUCACUUAUAGAUGGAUCCGCGCUGCAUUAGCUAGUUGGUAAGGUAACGGCUUACCAAGGCAACGAUGCAUAGCCGACCUGAGAGGGGGAUCGGCCACAUGGGAACUGAGACACGGUCCAGACUACUACGGGAGGCAGCAGUAGGGAAUCUUCCGCAAUGGGCGAAAGCCUGACGGAGCAACGCCGCGUGAGUGAUGAAGGUCUUCGGAUCGUAAAACUCUGUUAUUAGGGAAGAACAUAUGUGGAAGGAACUGUGCACAUCUUGACGGUACCUAAUCAGAAAGCCACGGCUAACUACGUG